ACCAAAAAAGUCUCCAUACUUGCAUACCUUCCAUUUGCAAGUACUAGUGAGCCAUGCAGUAAGGCACGCACAUGUGGUGGCAGCCGUUCGCUGUUGCUUAUUUAAGCGUAAUUGGCGAACAAUGGCUCGUGCUUUACUGGGUGUUGAGGGGAAAUAGGUGAUUCACCGUGCUAGUAGGUGAUUCGAGAGCGCCUAUUUCCUCGUUACGUUAACAACGGUGUCCACUUUGGCGUCUACGCUCCACCUAGCUACUGCCUGGACCGUCGGUAGCAAUGAAAGGUGGGGAGAUAGUUCCUCCUCGUGAGUUGAGCAGACUUAAUGAACCCGGCUAGAGGGUCGCCAAAAACCAAACACACACACACAUUCAUUUUAAACUUAUGUAUAUCGAUGAAUCAUGAUGUGCUCCAACUUAUGGAGACAUGUAUGUGAUGAGACGUUA
rnacentral:rRNA from 1 species